CUCAGUGAGCAUAUACGCGCACCAUUCGACAAUUCCAGCAACCAUGUGGUUUUGUAGAAGAGCGUAUAGGAGAUGCAGAUAAUCAGAAGAGCUAUUUGUCUUUGUGAGGCUGGGAUGCACCAGGAAAGAACACGUAACGGGGUGUAAAUCAUCAGGUACGAAGGGAUUCGGUUCAGGAUCCAGCAGCAGCAAUUUCCUCAGACGGACGGAUCGAAUUAGGCAGCCAUCCAUCCUCUGCGCAACAGAAAUUCUCGGUUGAAGUACAUGUUUUAGCUGCUGUGCAUCCAGAGAUGCAAAGUCAGGCAAUAAUAAUUCAGAG
rnacentral:lncRNA from 1 species